GUCAGGAACAGACUCUCCCCAGCCCUGCAGCCACAGAAAUGAGCUGGUGCAAAAGGAACACAAUGCGACCUGGGCUUCCCUGAAGUUCCCCAAAUCUAAAAUCAGUCAGGUAGCUGGAACCCGACUCCUCUUGGAAGACCGCUUUUAUCAUCCAAAACAACAUUCAUAUAUUUCUAUCUGACCACAGAAUUUUGUUCUCAGAAAGCCAGUCAAACCUACAUAAUCUGCCUACUAUCAGCACUCCCUAUUUACAAGAGCUCAGACAAGGAGGAGGCCCCAAGCCGCAGGCAGCAGUGCUGGGGUCAUUAUGAAACCAGAGUCUAGAAUUGCACCUGGCACAUCACGGGCUCUCAACAGCAGCCAGCACGUUCCUGAUAUGGCAGACAAUGCUGUGUGCAACACAUCGUCUCCUCAUCUGGACACGCGACAAUGGUGCUCCCAGCCGCCCUCACAGUGAGCCUGGGCACGUGACGUUCUCGCCAACGGACCUCGCACAGAAGCGAUGUGCCACUUCUAGUCCAAGGCAGAGAGUGCUCCCCGACCCAUCUCUCUUCUCUGGCUGCAGUUAUUCUGAGGCCUCUGAUUCCGGCCUCAGGCAGCCUGGAUUCCUGCACUGGCUGGGAGGAGGCCCAUCCAGGGGGCCUCUUAUCAGACUGUGACAUGUGAGCAAAAAAGAGACUUUUUUUACUAAGCCACUGAGACAGUAUCAAUGACUCUGAAUAAGACACCUAAUAAAACAA
rnacentral:lncRNA from 10 species